GAUGAACGCUAGCGGCAGGCUUAACACAUGCAAGUCGAGGGGUAUAGUUCUUCGGAGCUAGAGACCGGCGCACGGGUGCGUAACGCGUAUGCAAUCUACCUUUCACAGAGGGAUAGCCCAGAGAAAUUUGGAUUAAUACCUCAUAGUAUAAUGAGUUGGCAUCAACCCAUUAUUAAAGUCACAACGGUGAAAGAUGAGCAUGCGUCCCAUUAGCUAGUUGGUAGGGUAACGGCUUACCAAGGCUACGAUGGGUAGGGGUCCUGAGAGGGAGAUCCACCAUACUGGUACUGAGACACGGACCAGACUCCUACGGGAGGCAGCAGUGAGGAAUAUUGGUCAAUGGACGCAAGUCUGAACCAGCCAUGCCGCGUGCAGGAUGACGGUCCUAUGGAUUGUAAACUGCUUUUGUACGAGAAGAAACACUCCUUCGUGAAGGAGCUUGACGGUAUCGUAAGAAUAAGGAUCGGCUAACUCCGUGCCAGCAGCCGCCGUAA
rnacentral:rRNA from 1 species